UAUUAGGCGUUGACCAGAUUCGAUAAGGUCUCGUUGUGUUGUGUGUAUGUGUGUUACUGGAGAUUCAAAAGAACCGUUUAAAUAGGGAAUCUGAGUAUAAAAGAUAAAAUGCCUGACACUCCCAUCCAAUGAUUUGUCAAAUUUGUCGAAUAACCCGCAAACGUGUCCGCCCCCGACCACCGUUUUUAUAUUUUAUAUGUUUUUUUUUCCGGAUCGACGACAAUGAACGUGUGCCAAUGGACCUCUGGGUCACGUGUGACCGAAUUGCCUUAAACGUCCGGCAGCUGAUGUCUGAAUAUAUUGUGCAGUAACAUCUUAAGACACCCGUACCGAUGCAAAAACACACAACAAUAUCAUUUGAAUUUUUGUGUUAGGUACGGAUAAAGAAAAGCGCAAAACUGGAUCGGAUCUUUGACAUUCUUACCAUUGUAACGAGCAUAGCAGCUAUUCAAAGCUAUUUAGAGUUGCUCUCUGUUACCAAGCCGCGGCAGUAAUAAGGAAUAAACUAUUAUACACCUUCAAUAUAAAUUUAUAGCGAAUUAUUACCCUAUAGUCGAACUGCCGUUUGCUGACUUGGAGGUGUGUAUGUGGCUUUAUAGAGGAGAAGCAUGUCCAAUUGUGCGUCACACGCUAACGGCCAGAUUUUCUAUAAUCUUUGUUGGAAGACUGAAAAGGUGCACAAGUUCGUUGUUUGAUAUAAUAAUUGAGUCGUUUAACGUUUAACCGAAUGCACAUUAUCCAAUGGCCAAACACCCAUUUUCAUAAUAUCAGCAUCGUUACUAUGGGCUCACUGUAAUAUCAUAGUUGCAUGAAAUAAGCGAUGGACAAGUAAAAUUUUAAGUUCUCGGUAAAAUAAUUUUGUCACAGGUUUAAUAUGGAAUUUGAUUAAAACGGCAAAAAUAAUCAACUACUGCUACACAAUUACCAUAAUUGGCCAACAAUAAUGAAUAUAAUAUGAAGAAAAACGGAGAAAGGCGUUUGUCCGCCAUCCGACAAGAUAAUAAUAAGAUCAUUGGUCAAGUACUUCUGAGUCGAACAACGAUCGAGUAUAAUAUUACCAUUGUUCGUGUCACACUUAGACCUUAGAUCCUUUCGCAACACAAACACUUAAUGUGCACUUAACCACAAAAAAUAAAACGCCGUAUAGCUGUGGACCACUUAACAACUAACGGCGAACACUUUGGUCUUAGAACGCCUGCGAAGCACACUGUCGCGAUUAUUGCCUUCACUCUCGAGACAACGGUCCAUCAAUCAACAGAGACGAAGAGGCAUGAUGAUGAACGAGGACCUCCUAAGUUUUGCGAAACUAACGUGUGCGGUCUUCCAAUCAGCAUUGUUAUACAAUAAUGUAUUAUUCUACUGGCUCGAGUACAAUAUUAAUCAGUUUGGAAAAAAAAUAAUCACAUCUCUUAUUAGUAUGAAAAUGUGAAAAUCGAUGGCGGCUACGGCCACGCCGAGAUGGUUUGCGCAGGGUGUGUAGACUCAGAUAACGGUUAUAGGUUUUGGGAACCCUCUGCGAGCCAGGGCCGCCGUCGGGACGAUACGAACAAUUAGCAUAUUAAUUUGUUUCUGCGUCGAAAAGAUAAAGGACAAGUCUCCUCGCACAGUUUGGCUCAUUGUGUGCUUGCAAUCCCAGUGUUGUUAUUUUUGUCGGCCGGUAAACCGAUAAACGAUACGCCGAUGAUGUUAUUAUUAUUAUUAUGUGAAGUGAGAAGCCGCAGAUUAAAAACUAAAUUUCAAAGACGGCGGCUUCAUGAUAAUUUUGAACAUUUUACCGAUAAUCCGCAUUGUAUAAUAUGCUAAGUUUUUAUGUAAUCGAAUAGUGAAUGUUGUAAAAAACACCGUUUACUUUGAUAUUUUAAUAACCAGUCGCACUAGAAAAAAUUAUACGAUAAAGUAAAAUUCAAAUUUAACGAAAACAGUUCUAAAAACCUAAACAUUCCGGUUCUUGUUCCAAAAAAAAAAAGUAAAUUUUUUCUGUACAGUGUUUCUAUAACUUAAUUAAAUUGUAAUAUAAUUAUUACUGAUUCAUAAAUAUUAAACAUUACAAUAUAUCAUAAUU